GACAGAGGAGGCGAGCGUUGUCCGGAGUCACUGGGCGUAAAGGGUACGUAGGCGGCUGGUCAAGUCUGGGGUCAAAGGCCACAGCUCAACUGUGGGAAGGCCCUGGAAACUGACCGGCUAGAGUGAGGUAGGGGUUGCGGGAAUUCCCGGUGUAGCGGUGAAAUGCGUAGAGAUCGGGAAGAACACCUGAGGCGGAAGCGCGCAACUGGGCCUCAACUGACGCUGAGGUACGAAAGCUAGGGGAGCGAAUGGG
rnacentral:rRNA from 1 species